UCUGGUUCAUAAUCACUUUAUGAUUGUAUAAACAAAAUACAAAUGGUAAAAAUAUACGUACUGCUGAAAAAUUGAUAUAUUUUCCUUUUUUUUCUCUAUCUUUUAUGAGUAAUUUUCUUUCUUAACUAUCAACUGUACGGUUCAAUUGGUUUCUGAUAUAAGUUAAUCUUUUGAAGUUUACACAUCUCUAACUUGUUUAUUUUGUAACUCUAUUCAUCUGUGUUUCCUCUUAUUUUAAAUUUUAUACUUGCAUCACCAAUGAUUCUGAUAGGGUUUUUCGUAUUGUAUUGAUGAGAUUGACAUGUUUGUUAGGAUUAUGAGGAUCUCACAAUAAUAAAGGUGGUGCUAAUGUAACACUGGAAAAAUGAUUGACUUGGUUUCCUUUAUAACAUACGGUCUUAUUUUCAUUUUCUUGUAAUUAUUCUAUUUUCUUUUUUUCUUUUUCAUUUUCUUGUAAUUAUUCUUUUUUCUUUUUUUCUUUUUCAUUUUCUCUACUUAUAAUUAGUAUUUUAGCAUAUUUUUUAUUCUAUAUAACUUAUGUUAAUUGUUUAAUUAUCAGAAUAUCGAAGAUGACAUUUUAUGUUGUUAAGGAUAUAAGUAUAUAUUUAAAUAAUUUUGAUGUUCAAUACAUAUCUUUCUAAACUAAUUAAUGUCAAGGUUUGUUACUCAUUACAUGUUUGAUUGAUUUAUAUAAUUGUGGAUGUACUUAAUAUAAAUAUUUAGCUUACUAUAUCUAAUAGAAAUCUCUGGUUCAUAAUCACUUUAUAAUUGUAUAAACAAAAUACAAAUGGUAAAAAUAUACGUACUGCUGAAAAAUUGAUAUAUUUUCCUUUUUUUUCUAUAUCUUUUAUGAGUAAUUUUCUUUCUUAACUUUCAACUGUACGGUUCAAUUGGUUUCUGAUAUAAGUUAAUCUUUUGAAGUUUACACAUCUCUAACUCUCUCAUUUUGUCACUCUAUUCAUCUGUGUUUCUUCUUAUUUUCAAUUUUAGUUUUGUGUCACCAAUGAUUAUGAUAGGGUUUUCGUAUUAUUUUGAUGAGAUUGAGAUGGUUGUUAGGAUUAAUAGGAUCUCAAAAUAAUAAAGGUGGUGCUAAUGUAACACUGGAAAAAUGAUGGAGUUGGUUUCCUUUAUAACAUACGGUCUCAUUUUCAUUUUCUUGUAAUUAUUCUAUUUUCAUUUUCUUGUAAUUAUUCUUUUUUCUUUUUUUCUUUUUCAUUUUCUACUUAUAAUUAGUAUUUUAGCAUAUUUUUUAAUCUACAUAACUUAUGUUAAUUGUUU
rnacentral:lncRNA from 1 species